GCCGCCAUGGUGAAAUUGGUAGACACGCUGCUCUUAGGAAGCAGUGCUAGAGCAUCUCGGUUCGAGUCCGAGUGGCGGCAUAAAUAUUAAUUCA
rnacentral:tRNA from 1 species